AAUGAACGCUGGCGGCAUGCCUAACACAUGCAAGUCGAACGAAGCCUUCGGGCUUAGUGGCGCACGGGUGCGUAACGCGUGGGAAUCUGCCCUUGGGUUCGGAAUAACUCUCCGAAAGGAGUGCUAAUACCGGAUGAUGUCGAAAGACCAAAGAUUUAUCGCCCAGGGAUGAGCCCGCGUAGGAUUAGCUAGUUGGUGGGGUAAAAGCUCACCAAGGCGACGAUCCUUAGCUGGUCUGAGAGGAUGACCAGCCACACUGGGACUGAGACACGGCCCAGACUCCUACGGGAGGCAGCAGUGGGGAAUAUUGGACAAUGGGCGAAAGCCUGAUCCAGCAAUGCCGCGUGAGUGAUGAAGGCCUUAGGGUUGUAAAGCUCUUUUACCCGGGAUGAUAAUGACAGUACCGGGAGAAUAAGCCCCGGCUAACUCCGUGCCAGCCGCCGCGGUAA
rnacentral:rRNA from 1 species